rnacentral:piRNA from 1 species
UAUUUACUGUAUAAUCCCGGAAU